GAUGAAGAACGUAGCGAAAUGCGAUAACUAAUGUGAAUUGCAGAAUUCAGUGAAUCAUCGAGUCUUUGAACGCACAUUGCGCCCUCUGGUAUUCCGGAGGGCAUGCCUGUCCGAGCGUCAUUGCUGCCCUCCAGCCCGGCUGGUGUGUUGGGCCCCGUCCCCCUUCCCGGGGGGACGGGCCCGAAAGGCAGCGGCGGCACCGCGUCCGGUCCUCGAGCGUAUGGGGCUUUGUCACCCGCUCUUGUAGGCCCGGCCGGCGCCAGCCGACCCCCUCAAUCUAUUUUUCAGGUUGACCUCGGAUCAGGUAGGGAUACCCGCUGAACCUAAGCAUAUCAAUAAGCGGAGGA
rnacentral:misc_RNA from 1 species